rnacentral:tRNA from 1 species
CCGGAAAUAGCUCAGUUGGAAGAGCGGAGGACUGUAAUAUACCAGAUAUCCUUAGGUCGUGAGUUCAAGUCUCACUUUCCGGA